CCGAGUUAGGGUCUUCUAGGCCCGACCUCCCAACCCUUUGUUUACCAAACCUAUGUUGCUUCGGCGGGCCCGUCUUUGUUGACCGCCGGAGGACUGUCCGUCAUGGGCAUCCUCUAGCCCGUGCCCGUCGAUGGCCCAACCCCUAAAACUCUGUAUAAAUCGUGUUAUGAUUGUCUGAGUACAGUGAUUUAAAUUAAAUAA
rnacentral:misc_RNA from 1 species